AGUGUACAGAUUUCCCGCCCUUUUGGUCUGAUUCACUUUAUAAGAGGCCGUUUUGUUUCUGUGCUCUAAGCAACUCGUUUCAUUUCUGUCUCCCUCAGGUGCAACAAUGCUCGGCGAUUGAUCACCUUUGGGGCCUGGCUUUCUGAAGAUCUGGAUGAAUCCAUUCUGCGAUUACCUUGCCUAGAGCAUAUGGAGUGGCUGGGUGACAUUCAAAUAGUAACCGUGGGCUUGUAGGUGGGAAGUGGGGCUUGGCCAGAUUCUAUAUACAUUAGGUCCUCCACAAGAAGAUCAUAGUGUCUCUUUACUUCUUCAGGAGAUUUGCCGCCUACGGCCUUCGCCACAUUUUGCCAGCGGUCUGGGGUGUCUUUGUCAUAUACGGCCAAGGCCUUUUCAAAUAGCUUGUUUUGCUUGGGUGUCCAGGACGAGCUAGAACCAUGUGAAGAAGAUGAGAAGUAGCUUGAUGUCAUUUCCCUGGACGUGAAAUAAGAAUACUAUGCUAGUAAUGUAAAUGGGCUGACUAGUAAAGUUAAAUUAAUGAUGGGGGAAUGUGAAACCGAAGGCAGAAGAAAAAUGCUAAAGAGAAAGUUUAUGAGAAAGAGAGGGAAGAGCUGCCUCAGUCAAGGGAGAAGACUGAAGUCAAGGGAGGGUAUGGGUAAGAGAUUGCCAUGCUUGGUCCUUAUAAACAGGAGAGAGAGUGGUGGGGUUAUGCAAGUUGGCGAAUAUUUUUUUCGAGAUGGUAUAACAAGAUGUGAUUCGCUUCCUUGAGCAUGGGUAAGAAGGACGAGAAAUGAAAAGAGAAUCCAUGUAAAAGGACUGGCUCUUUAUAAAGUCCUUUUCUUGUCUUCUAUAAUGUCAUCAGCAACAGCAAAUGGAAUUCUUCGGGAAUUUUACCUAGUGGGGAUUAGAUCCCAAAUUCUGAGUCUACUCAUCAGCACAUAGAUGCGCCUACAACAUGAACCGCCAUUCCAGCUUUUUAGACCUGCAUAAGACACAGAACAAUGUUGUAUGGAAGGGCUAGGGUCAGACUGCGAGUGGUGUGUUCUUCAUGGCUCUGAAUUUUUUGCAGCAAUGGAAAGCAGCCCGGGUCGUGUCCUCAGUAAGCACCAUUGUCAACCCGGCUCGCCCGAUCUGGUCUCCUCCGCCGCACGGUUGGAUCAAGGCGAACAUUGACGCCUCUUUAAGCUUGCAACGAGGUUCAGUAGGUUUCGGUUGUGUAAUCCGGAAGGAUGAUGAGAGUUUUGUGGCUGCUAGAGCAGACUCUUUUUAUAGCCAGAUGGAUGCAAAGUGUGCUGAAGCUAUAGCAUUACGGAAAGCAUUGAGCUGGAUUAAAGAGUGUGGAUGGGAUCGAGUUCUUUUCGAAUUGGAUGCUCAGGUACUUGUGAUGUCAGUUAAUUGUGUUUUGUUAGAUGAUUUAUCGUUUUUUGUCCUUCUGGUUCAAGAUUGUAAACUGUUUCUAUCUAGUUAUGAGGAAGCAAAGUGUGUUUUUGUUCAUAAAUCUGCGAAUAAUGUCGCUCAUGUUCUAGCAACAUCGGCUCAUUCUGAGUCAGGUCAAGGAGUUUGGAUUGAUAUCCCUCAUUCUCAUAUUGUUUUUUUGUUCUCUUUGAAUUAAUAAAGUUUUCUUGUUAU